rnacentral:misc_RNA from 1 species
AAGUCGUAACAAGGUCUCCGUAGGUGAACCUGCGGAGGGAUCAUUACAGAGUUCAUGCCCUCACGGGUAGAUCUCCCACCCUUGCGUAUUUCAUACCUUUGUUGCUUUGGCAGGCCGCCUGGGUUCGCGCCUGGCCACCGGCUCUCGGGCUGGUGCGUGCCUGCCAGAGGAUCUCCAAACUCUAGUUAUCAGUGUUGUCUGAGUCUUAUACAAUUGUUAAAACUUUCAACAACGGAUCUCUUGGUUCUG